ensembl:snoRNA
UUUGGAAGACUAAGAAGGCUGAGUCUGAUGAAGCAAGACCCUGCUGAUACAAUCCUCCUAGAGAAAAGGGUUUGAGAGAACAGCUCUUACCUGGAGAAUAGGCAUGCACAUUUUACAACAUCACAUUA